rnacentral:rRNA from 1 species
GGGGGGUUUCCGGAUAUUGGGCGUAAGAGCUCGUAGGCGGUUUGUCGCGUCUGCCGUGAAAGUCCGGGGCUCAACUCCGGAUCUGCGGUGGGUACGGGCAGACUAGAGUGAUGUAGGGGAGACUGGAAUUCCUGGUGUAGCGGUGAAAUGCGCAGAUAUCAGGAGGAACACCGAUGGCGAAGGCAGGUCUCUGGGCAUUAACUGACGCUGAGGAGCGAAAGCAUGGGGAGCGAACAGGAUUAGAUACCCUGGUAGUCCAUGCCGUAAACGUUGGGCACUAGGUGUGGGGGACAUUCCACGUUUUCCGCGCCGUAGCUAACGCAUUAAGUGCCCCGCCUGGGGAGUACGGCCGCAAGGCUAAAACUCAAAGGAAUUGACGGGGGCCCGCACAAGCGGCGGAGCAUGCGGAUUAAUUCGAUGCAACGCGAAGAACCUUACCAAGGCUUGACAUGGGCCGGACCGGGCUGGAAACAGUCCUUCCCCUUUGGGGCCGGUUCACAGGUGGUGCAUGGUUGUCGUCAGCUCGUGUCGUGAGAUGUUGGGUUAAGUCCCGCAACGAGCGCAACCCUCGUUCCAUGUUGCCAGCGCGUAAUGGCGGGGACUCAUGGGAGACUGCCGGGGUCAACUCGGAGGAAGGUGGGGACGACGUCAAAUCAUCAUGCCCCUUAUGUCUUGGGCUUCACGCAUGCUACAAUGGCCGGUACAAAGGGUUGCGAUACUGUGAGGUGGAGCUAAUCCCAAAAAGCCGGUCUCAGUUCGGAUUGCGGUCUGCAACUCGACCCCAUGAAGUCGGAGUCGCUAGUAAUCGCAGAUCAGCAACGCUGCGGUGAAUACGUUCCCGGGCCUUGUACACACCGCCCGUCAAGUCACGAAAGUUGGUAACACCCGAAGCCGGUGGCCUAACCCCUUGUGGGAGGGAGCUGUCGAAGUGGGACUGGCGAUUGGGACUAAGUCGUAACAAGGUAACC